UAUGGGAAUAAUCACCGAGAAUAAUCUCACUGCCCCUAAUUGGGCAAUGAGUAAGCACACUGAUAAGGUUGCCCAUAGUGCCUGAAGGAACAAAUAAUCCUGCUUCCUUGCCCGUUAUCCUUGCCAUCUCUGCUUCAAGGUGUUGGGCUGUUGGAUCAUAACCCAAGACAUCAUCAUCCACUUCAGCAUUGGUCAUUGCGUUCCGCAUGGCUUCAGUUGGUUUAGUGACUGUGUCUGAGCGAAGAUCCACAGUUCUUUUCACCAUCUUCACUGAACUACAAAACAGAAACACGGCAAUAUGGACCGUUCGCCUAGCUUUAGUAUGCCCAUGUAGGAAAAAAUAAAAUAAAUUGCAAACAACUUUUUCAGCAGCAAAACAUCAAUACCCGACAAAAAAAGAUUGUUAGCUGGAAUUUUAGGAAGUAUCCAGGAAACAGACCUAUAGACUCCCAAACAACAUGGGCGGAUGAAGUAUGGUCACCAGUUAACAAAAAGAGAGAGUUUAUCACUCACCAUGCAAUAAGUAAACCUGUCUCAAGAAGGAACUUGAAAACAAAUAAAUGGUAAAGGAAUUAGUGGCGGAGCUACCUUUGUCCGAGGAGUGACACUAGACACCUUUUUUCUAGAAAAUUAUGUUGAAUCCUCUUGACUUCUUCGUGUGUUUACUCCUACAUAAACUACCUUCAAUGAAAACCCCAGCGUACUCUAAUCUACAAACAACUGUCACUAAGUCUCAAUCCCAAACUAACUGGAGUCAGCUAAGAUCAUCUACAAACUAGAUAGUCCAGAAAAGCUCAUUCUAUCUUUAAUGAAAUUGCUUAGGUAACAAAAUAAAUAAGCCGUGCUGGUGUGGAUAACUCUGAAAUUAGCAAGUCAAGACUAAGUUCCAUAAAAAAGAUAAAUGAUGUAUACAGUUGGGUCACACAGACAAUAUGAGGAUUUAACUCAGAUAAAUCUUGAUAACCUCAAUCAUAUUUACACUAAUACGGGACAUUAUAUAUUACUACUCACUCCAUCCUGAAAUAGGUGUCAAUCUUCUCUUUUCGAGGGUCAAUGUGACUAAUCUUCGAAGCUAAAUUGGAUUAUAUCAACUCAAUAUAGGGUCUAUUGUAAAUCACCUCUCUACCUCCCAAGGCAGGGGUGUAAGGUAUGCGUAUACUUUACCCUCUCCAGACUCUACAGGGAAGUAGGGGUAAGAUAUCUGUACUCAAUACCCUCUCCAAACCCCAAAUUAUCGAGGGAAUAUUAUUGUUGUAUUUUAAAAUUAAAAUUGUGAUUUACAAACACUACAUCAAAACUAUUAUAAGUUGCAAUUCUAAUAAAAAAAAUACUGCAUUUUAAAAUAUUGUUUACUGUUCACAUGGUUUGAAUCUCGAGAAGAGAAAAAUGACAAAAAUUUGGGAUGAAGGGAGUAAUAUAUUUCAAAACCUUUUCUGAUACUCAAAACAUUAUACAGUUUAGCAUAAACAUAAAAGCUAAAGGAAAUAAAAAAAUGGAAAAAAGUUCAUACUUUGUAAGCUUCUCUUCUCUGUAUCUUCAAAACAACAAUGCUAAAGAGACAAUUCACUCAACUGCAAACCAAAUUCCACAAGUUAAUCACAACAAACAACAACUAAAAAGAAAUAAUCAAAUUAUUCAAGAAAAAAUUAAAUUAAUUCAACAUACAAAGAAGCAUUCCUCCUUCAAGGGAAAAAAAACAACCAAAAACCACACAAACAAACAAUAACAACAACAACAACAUACCAGUGGAAUCCCACAAGUGGAGUCUGGCAGGGUAAAGUAUACGCAGACCUUACCACUACGCUGUUUCUGUUCCGGAAGACCCUCGGCUCAAAAAUAUUCGGCUCCAAAACCACACAAAAAAGAACAAUAAUUUUUUUCAGUUCCUAACUCAAUGGGUGUCUAUCUUCUAAGCCACAACUUUCAAAGAACCAAAGAGAAAUAACAUUAGUACACAUACAUACAAACAAUUAUCAACAAACCCCAGUAAUCAAGAUCUGGAAUUUUGCAUAAAAAUUCAAUCUUUUUCCCAUAAAACCAAACCCCACCACCCCAAAAUCACAAGAAGAUGAAAAAUUUAAACAUACCAACUUUUGGACUGAUUACACUGAUACAAAACAAAAAAGAAAAGAGUGAAAUAGAAGUAGUAUCACAUCAACAGAGAUAUCACCAAACACCUGUAAGGUCUGAAAAUAAGACAGCAAUAAGCACAUUUAGUUACAUGCAUGCAAUUUUUCCUUUUUUGGCUUAUAUCAAGAUUUUGUUACUUAAGAAAAAGACUCAUAUGUGACAAGUUUAUAGCUUUUGUAGUUUUGCUUACCAAUUAGCUGUUCCUCUUUGUUUUGUAAUUUUGUCCCUUGGAGGACUCCUUUUAUAGCAUGGAUGAGGAAUAAUUAGUUUGAAAUUUGUUUUAUUGAUUAGAAUAAAAAUUUAGAAAAAUUAUUUUGGAAAUGUAAUGUUAUUUUUAUCUUAUAUCAAGCCUAAUACAAUAGUUUUAAAAUAAUUUAUUUUCCAAUUAAAAUGAGCUUAAAAAAGCUUUUUAUAUUUUGCGAUGACUAUUUUAAUAUAACAAUUCCGCCCGCUAGUGAUAUUAUUCGCUUUGGGCCUAAGCUCGCACUACUUUAAAACGCAUCACUCAGUCCACCAGUGAUAUUGUCCGCUAGGCCCGAACAGCUUUAAAACACAUCGCUAGCAGGUAAUAUUUGUUUACUUAUAUAGUCAACAUCUCUCUUGAGUUUUGCGAUGUGAGACUUCUCAUCUCAAGAUGGAUUAUUAUAUACACCUCCUCUAGCUGAGGUUUGCUCCACUAUAUAAGAUUCGCCUAAACUCAACACUGAGAUUUACCCUGUAGUGGCUCUGAUACCAUCUAUAACAGCCCAGCCUACUAGUGAUAUUGUCUGCUUUGGAUCUAGACCCGCACGGCUUUAAAACGCGUCACUAGUAGGUAAGACUUAUUUACUUGCAUCUUCCUUGUGUUUCGCCGAUGUGGACUUCUUAUCUUAAGAAGAAUUGUAACAUUCAACUUUUAUUUUAUUGAUGAGAUUUCAAUUUGACAUCUUAUAUUUAGUCAUAAUUUAGGAAAUUUUUCUUUGCUAGAUUAAUAUGGAUAAACAGUUGAGCAUUAUGAUAAUAUUUAUUACUCCACCAAUAAAAAGGAAUAUCAUUCUGUAUUCUCAAGUAAAGAAAAGCUUCUUUAAUAUUAUUUUAAUUACAACAACAACAUACCCAGUGAAAUCCCACAAAUGGGGUCUGGGGAGGGUGCAGACCUUAAUUGAUUUUACUUUUUCUAAAUUAAUGUAGAUAAACAGUUGAGCUCUAUUUAUUAAUCCAUUAAUAAGAAAAAAAUCAUCUUUUUUUCUUAAUAAAAGGAUUAUUUAACCAUAUUUUUAAGAGUGUUAUUUUGUGCUAGAUCAUUAUGAACAAACAUCUAAGUACUAUAAUAUUUAUUUAAUCACAUUUUAAGGAUUUCAUUACUUGCUAUAUUAAUAUGGAUUUAUGAUAAUAUAUAUGACUCCACCUAUAGGAAGGAAUAACAUUCUUUAUAUAUUGAUAAACAUUUGAGCAUUAUGGUAAUAUUUACUAUUCCAUCAGUAAAAAGAAAUAUCAUCCUUUAUACAUUGAUAGACAGUUGAGCAUUAUAAUAAUAUUUAUUAUUCCAGCAAUAAGAAAAAUAUCAUUUUAUAUUCUCAUAUAAAGGAAAGAUUCUUUAAUAGUAUUUUAAAAAAAAUGAAUUUUUUCUAAAUUAACAUAGAUAAGCAAUUGAGCUCUAUUUAUUAAUUCAUCAAUGAAAAGAAAAAUCAUUUUUUCCCUUAAGAAAGGGAUUAUUUAACCAUAUUUUAAGAGUGUCAUUUUGUGCCAGAUUAAUAUGAACAAACAUCUUAAGUAAUGUAAUAUUUAUUUAAUCAUAUUUUUUAAGAAUUUUAUUAUUUGCUAAAUCAAUACUUUAUGCUCUCCUCUUUCGAUUAAAGUCAGAGCUUAGAAUGAAAUUAGUUCUUGAGUCAACUUAUCAGUCUUUAUUGACUUGAAGCUCUUGAUUUUUUGUUCCAUUUAAGAAGAUCCAUUUUAGCUUUCCAUUUGUAUCUCUUUCGGUCUCGAUUACUUCUCACAGAUGUUGUAACAUGCAGGCCGGAAUUUUGAACGUUACUUGACCGCAAUAAAUUUUCCAACUAGGUGGAAGAGGUUGUGAUUGUUGUAGUUGGCAUUAAUUUGUUAUCCCACAUCUAAAGUUUAGGACUUUGUUAGGGGAUGUUGGGACUAUAAAAGAGUUUAUCCCACAUCUAAAGUUUUGAACAUUGUAAGGGGAUGUUGGGGUUAUAAAAGAGACCCUCACCUCCCAUUCUAAACACACCAAAAAUUUGUUUCUUUUCUCUCUAUUAAUAAGAGCGGUGAUAUUUGUGCGGUGCCCGGAGAGUAGGCAUAUUCUGCUGAACUCCGUUAUCAAAUUUAUAGUCUUUCUUUUAUUUUCUUUUGUAUUCAAUAUUUUGUUGGGUCUUUUAUUUCUUUGGCUAUUUUGUGGAAAAAUUCUCAGUGAUGAUUGAUUGGAGGUUUCCUUUCUACAAUAAGUCAAAAGUUAGAGAAUAGAAAAGGAAUUGAUCCUUUCUUAGUUGCAUGCUUGUAGCCACAAAUGUUAUAGGAAAUAGGGAUUCAUUUAUCAACUCAUUUCGUUUGUGGAGUGUGGUAUUUACUUUUGACAAUUACUCCCUAAUAGUUGCGCAGCAGGUGGAAUAAAUCUACCCGAAGUUUUCAUUAUGAUAAUAUUUAUUACUUCACCAAUAAGAAAGAAUGUCAUUUUGUAUCCUUCAUUUGAGAAUACAGAAUGACAUUCCUUCUUUUUGGUGGAGUAACAAAUAUUAUCAUAAUAAAAGUUUCGGGUAGAUUUAUUCCACCUGCUGCAGCAGCUGUGGGAAGGAGUAAUAUCAGAGAAUUUUUCUUUAAUAAUAUUUUAAUUAAUUUUAAUUAUCCUAAAUUAAUGUAGAUAAACGACUGGGCUCUAUCUAUUGAUCCAUCAAUAAGAAGAAAAAUCAUUUUUUUUUCUUAAUCAUAUUUUUAAGAGUGUUAUUUUAUGCUAGAUUAAUAUGAACAAGCAUCUAAGUACUAUAAUAUUUACUUAAUCAUAUUUAUAAGGAUCUUAUUAUUUGCUAGAUCAAUAUGAAUAAAUAAUUGAGUAUUAUGAUAAAAUUUAUUACUCCACUAAUAAGAAGGAAUAUCACUCUUUAUUCUCAAACAAAAGAAAGGUUCUUUAACAAUAUUUUAAAGAAUUUUAAUUUUUUUUAAAUUAAUGUAAAUAAAAUAUUUCAAAUUCUCUAGAAAAUGUGACACAUUCAAUAAUAUUUUAAAAAUUCAAACAUGGCUCUUUUAUUAAAAAUAGAAAAAUUUAAAGCAGGUACUAAUUCUUUUGCAGGAUUCCAUUCCCACUUAUUAUUUAUUCAAGUCCUUAUUUAUUUAUUUAUUUAUUGCUUUUUCUAUUCUUCAUUCACACUACAAAGUCAUAUACUAAUAAUAUUUCAUCAUGGAAUUUCAGAAAAAUUUCCUUUAAUUUAAAUAUUCAAUACUCACGAAACACAUGAUUUAAAAAUAUUAGUGGAAAUUAAUUUAAACAAAACACAAUAGAUGCUUUUGUUAAAUAUUUAACACAUUUUAAGAUGGUCAUAAGCUAUAUGUCAAAGAUAUGAAAAUAUUUAAACAUUUAAGUAUUAUAAAAAUAUUUAUUACUCCAUCAAUCACCUUCCCCAUUAAUUCUAUAGUGCGAGUUAUGUCACGUGCAUAACUAGAUAUGAAAUUUAUCUAAUUAAUGAAAGAAAAAAAAAGGCAAACAUAAUUUUUUAUAAUCUAAAUUAUUUAAUCGUGAAAUAUUUGAAUUUAAAUUUGUACGACAAAUUGAUUCUCUUUUUUAAAAAAUUCGCAGACUAAUUAUACAUAAUGAUAACACUUAAAUUAUUAAGCAAUGAAUAACAAUAUAAGAAUUAACCCCAAAAAAAUAAUAAAAGAAAAUUUUAAAUAAGUCGUACAUAAAUAAUUAUAUAAGAAUUUCUACUUUUAUUAAGGGGUCAAUUAUUUUAAUCCUCAAUUUCAACUUGUAAUACUAUAAUUUCACUUGAAAUCUUUUUGGUGGAAUAUUAUCACUUUAAUUUGGGGUUUUUAUUCCAACCCCACUACCAAAGAGCAUAAUUUGAAAGGGAUUAACUUAAUAAAUAGUGUUAUUUGCAUACCUAUAUAAUAUUCAUGCGCGUAUAAUAUCUUAUCUUAAUUGAAAUUGUUCAGACAUAAUAUAUGAUUAUAACUGUAACAUAUAUGUGUGGCUAGUCGUAUAAGUAUGUAAUAUUGUGUCAGAAAUAUCACCUAUAAAUGUGGUCAACUGAAUUCAAUAUACGCGUGUCUUCAAAUUAUACAUGCAUAGAGAAUUUUGACAAAGCAAUAUCAAUUUUUCGAUACAUACUAUAUGCUAUAACAUACAUAAUGCACACACCAUAAAUAUUCGUUGGAACUAAAUUAAAGAACAUAUUUAUGAAUCAUGCCAAUAUCACUAAACAUAUACAGUAACACACACACUACAUUCAUUAUGGCCGUCGAAUUUCAAUUUGUUCGUUUGAUUUUUAAUUUGACACAAUUUAAGACGGUCCAACUGCAAACAGAGUCUUUUUGAUCACUAAAAGGACAUGAAAUGAAAAGUUUAAAAGAUUGACUAAAUUUGCAAACUGGCUUCUCCCAUGUAGCAUUUGGAACAGCUUCCAACAGAAAGUGAUCAUGUCUGAAGCCGUUUAUCUGGUUAACUUGUCACCAUUUUCUUCAGCCACUCCUGCUAAAACUCGCUGCAGAUGUUUAACACGAAAAAAGAUGAACAUUGAGUUUACGAGUGAUCAUUUUCGACUUAUUUAGCUGCUUACCUGAAGGCAAGACACUGCAUAGUGCACAUCACUUUCUGAAAUCUGGUGGUGUAUAACAAAUCUGAUUCUGCAAAAUAGGAAUUGGCAACAUUGCUAAGUCGCGGAAGGUCUUGGAUUUGAUAUAACGAAUGCAGGUCUAUUACAAUCUGGAGGAUACCAAUAUUUGGAGGUCUCGUUGUUUCCAUAAAUAAGUCGACUAAAGGAGAAUAGACAACCAAAUCUUUCAAAACAUAUCAAAACUAUUGUAUAGUUGUUGAUCUUCUAUCUUACAAACAAAAUGCAAGUUUGAGCACUAGUGGCAGAGUUUGAAUUGAAAAACUAGUCAGCAGAGGGGAGGCAUGUCAGAUCCUCCAAAAGUAGUGUUUGUUUUGACAUCAUUUUUGAUACAUCAAGAAAGGAAAAGAUAGGGUGUCACGUGUAUCAGCGUCUUGAAAGUACAUAUUAUGUAAUGUCUCACUAGUUGAACUUUAAACAGGCUUAGCAUGCAUAAACAAUCAAGGAUAAUAUGUAGAUGUGCUUAGAUAGAGAUUUGAGGAACAAAAAGACAAGCGCACCUCAGUGGGCCUUCUGGUAAUAGAAGUAAACCAUAUUUUUCCAAAGUCUUGAUCAACUCUGUUUCGCUGAUCUUUGACCCCUUCAGUAUAUCGCAAUAUACCUGAAGAUAAGAAAAAGGAAUCGUAAGGAGCUGAAUUUUUUUUUUAUUGGCAAUGCAAUAUAGGGUCUCUCUCUGUGGACUACUAGAGAGGAAAGAAAUCCCUUCCCGGAAGCCACUUUUUCCUUCUUGCAAUUCGUACUCGGCUUUAGGGAGGUUGAUUUUUGAAUGUUAAAUAGCUAAUGGAAUAUGGUAACUAGCUCAUGAGAAGUUUUACAUCACUGGAUUCAUCUAUUCUUUUUGAGAAUUAAGUCUGAACCCCGUUGGGCGACAAGCAAGGUGAGGUAGUUGUCAAGAGGGGUUAGCCAUGCUGGCUUUUUAAUUGAUGUCAGAAAAAUAAUUGUUCAAGCGCAGCUCGGUGCACUAAAGCAUCCGCGGUGCACAGGGUCCAAGGAAGGGCCAUCAACUUACAAUCAAUGAGUCAACUUACAAUGUUAGUCUCUACAGUAGCAACAUCAACUUUCAGCCCUUUGAUUUUGUUAAGCUCCGCUGAGAAGUAAAUGGUAAUUGUUAGACAGAUGAAUAAAGUUAGCUAAUAAACUCUUAUCAAAUGGCGAAAAUAUUACCAGCCAAAAUCUUAGCCUUUCUGUGAUCUCCUUCCAGCUUAACAAGAUUCUCUUGUAAAGCGGUAAAAGCAGCAGCACAAAGGACACCAACCUGCCUCAUUCCACCACCUAGAGUCUUCCUCAGGAUUUUGGCCUAGAAAACGAAGGACGCAAUGAGCUAUAUUCCAGGAACAAAUAAUCUUUUUUUUUUAAAUCUAAAACCACACCAACCCUGGCAAUGAAGCUCUUCGAACCAACAACCACAGAUCCAACUGGGGCACCAAGACCUUUUGAUAAGCAUAUCUGCAGAGACUCUUAAAUGAGCAGAAAUUCAGGAAAAAUACACUAACAAACUUGUCAUACAUUACAACCUUAAGGCAUAGAACUAUCCCUUCGUUUCUUCUUUAGGAUACCAUGUUAUAAAUAAAAUGUAUUUGUUCAUUACUCAAUAAGUGGAUCAGAAACUAAACACAAUAAAGAGGAAAGGUCAUCUAGAUUUUGGAGAUAAUCACUUACCGAAACUGAAUCAGCAGCCUGUACAAGCCUAUGAACAGGCACUCCAAGUGCCUAAAUGACAUUACAAGUCAGUUAAUCAGAAUGAACAUAAAAGAAAGAAGGCAUCCAAAAAGACAAACGUAGAAGCCCUUAAAAGUAAUUAUGGACAACUCCAAAAUUUAGACUCCUAUAAAACUCAAAAUUGAUGAAGUCAUAUGUCCAUAGAAAAGAAUGAUGAUUAUCAAAUCUGUCAAAAGUCAAAUCAGGCACUUAAGCUAUUGUGCAUAUGUAUGCAGGGUAGCAACUCCAGACAAAAGGUUGUUUCCUAAAAAGCAAAAAAAAAAAAAGUGUACUCACAACUGAUGCAUUGAAUAUGCGAGCUCCAUCAAUGUGAAGCUUCAGACCAUACUUCUUUGCUAGUUCUCCGACUUUGUCUGUGUAUUCCGCAGAAAGGCAUCUGCCUCCAGAGCUGCACUCAUAGAAUGUUGUAGAUUAAGAACUUGCAUUAUAAAGAGAGACAAUAAUCAAACUAACAAGAGCAAUGUGAAGAAAAAAAAUACAUGGAGAUUUAAGUCAUGUUUAGAAUCUAAAUUUUGCUAGGAGUCCUUUAAUCUUGCUAGACAUUUAUGCCAAUUGAAAUGUAGAGAACUUCCAAUGCUAGAGGCACUCGUUCUUUUAUAAUAUUGGACCGAUAUGGGCUUAAACAAAGUGACAUGAUCAGUGAAGAUUCACAUAACCAAUCUCAACUUUCUCAGAAGUGGAGCAUAGUUGUUUCUGGAUGGUCCACGAUAUACGAGAUAUAUACAGCUCUAAAAAAACUAGCACAAAUACAAUAGCAUUACAAGAUAACCCACCAAUUUGAGGGUUGCCGUAAAAAAGGUUAAUGGUGAGAGAAUAUUCUUACUGAGCAUGUGAAUUCUCCAAGCAGAUCAGCCUAGUGGUCGGGUAACAUAUUUCAAAGCUAGGAUCUCGAAUCGCAGCUUCAAUCAGAUCAAGAUCCAUUGUACCAUCUUCAUUGUUCUUUACCGUCCUUGGAUGAACACCUCCAAGGGUGGAAAUGCCUCCAUUUUCAUAAAUAUGGAUAUGGGAAUAAUCACCGAGAAUAAUCUCACUGCCCCUAAUUUGGCAAUGAGUCAGCACACUGAUAAGGUUGCCCAUAGUGCCUGAAGGAACAAAUAAUCCUGCUUCCUUGCCCGUUAUUCUUGCCAUCUCUUCUUCAAGACGUUGGGCUGUUGGAUCAUAACGCAAGACAUCAUCAUCCACUUCAGCAUUGGCCAUUGCGUUCCGCAUGGCUUCAGUUGGUUUAGUGACUGUGUCUGAGCGAAGAUCCACAGUUCUUACCACCAUCUUCACUGAA
rnacentral:lncRNA from 1 species